rnacentral:sRNA from 1 species
GCUGGGCAUGGUGGUGCAUGCCUGUAAUCCUAGCAACUUGGGAGGCUGAAGCAGGAGGAUCACGAGUUCAAAGCCAGCCUUUUAGUAAGACCCUGUCUCUA